UAAUACGAGGGGUGCGAGCGUUGUCCGGAAUCACUGGGCGUAAAGGGUCCGUAGGCGUCCCGACAAGUCAUUUGUUAAAUCCACCGGCUUAACCGGUGACCUGCAUUUGAAACUGUUAGGAUAGAGUAUAGGAGAGGAAAGCGGAAUUCCUGGUGUAGCGGUGACAUGCGUAGAUAUCAGGAGGAACACCAAUGGCGAAGGCAGCUUUCUGGCCUAUUACUGACGCUGAGGGACGAAAGCGUGGGGAGCGAACAGGAUUAGAUACCCUGGUAGUCCGCGCCGUAAACGAUGAGUACUUGGUGUCGGGGGAUUCGACCCCUUCGGUACCGGAGCUAACGCAUUAAGUACUCCGCCUGGGAACUACGACCGCAAGGUUG
rnacentral:rRNA from 1 species